UUGGACUCUGACUCCUGCCCAUUCUGCCCGGAAUCCGAAACAACUUCCCACAUGUUGUUGCACUGCUCAACGGCUUCCGAAGCCCGGUCAACUGUGGAUUCCUUAGGCAUUAAUCCUGCUGAUUGCAUCUCCAUCCAUGACCUACAGUCUCAGCAGCACUCAUGCAAGCUCCGAAAAACUGUGAUCCUGGCAAUUCUCUGGAAUAUUUGGAAAAGAAGGAAUGCAAAGAUUUUCAAGCAAGAAGUGGAAUCUUUGGGAACAGUGCUCCGCCGUGCGGCCCAAGACAUUUUUCUUUGGUCCAGUAGAUGUGUAAACGAGGACCAGAAACAAAUCCUGAUUGACCGGGGGAUCAUGCUGUCCCGGCUAGAUGUAGCAUAG
rnacentral:rRNA from 1 species